UACGUAGGGUGCAAGCGUUAAUCGGAAUUACUGGGCGUAAAGCGUGCGCAGGCGGUUAUGUAAGACAGAUGUGAAAUGCCCGGGCUUAACCUGGGAACUGCAUUUGUGACUGCAUGGCUAGAGUUUGGCAGAGGGGGGUAGAAUUCCACGUGUAGCAGUGAAAUGCGUAGAUAUGUGGGGGAACACCGAUGGCGAAGGCGGCGACCUGGUCCGGGACUGACGCUGAGGCGCGAAAGCCAGGGGAGCAAACGGG
rnacentral:rRNA from 1 species